GCCUCGGGUAAGAUGGCUGCCAAAACUUUUGCCUCCCGUUUCCGAGGCUCCCGACGCUUUUUGAGUGGCUUCGUGGCUGGAGCCGUCGCGGGCGCUAUGGGAACCGGGCUAACUGUCGUGCAGUUUCUCCGGAGUCGGGACGCUGAGCCAGCGUUGGCGGUGAGGGAGCCGGACGGUUCUUCAGAAAGGGCUCUCUUAGAACAAUUUGGAUUCCCUUUAACUGGAACAGAGACGAGGUGCUACACUAACCAUGCCUUGUCUUAUGAUCGGUCAAAGCGGGUUCCUAGAUGGGUUCUUGAACAUAUAUCCAAGAGCAAGAUAACGGGUGAUGCAGACAGAAAACAUUGUAAAUUCAAGCCAGAUCCCAACAUCCCUCCAACCUUCAGUGCCUUCAAUGAGGACUAUGUUGGCAGUGGGUGGUCACGAGGCCACAUGGCUCCAGCAGGAGAUAACAAAUUCUCAUCUAAAGCCAUGGCUGAAACCUUUUACCUUUCUAAUAUCGUGCCUCAGAAUUUUGAUAAUAAUGCUGGUUAUUGGAACAGAAUAGAAAUGUACUGUCGAGAACUGACAGAGAGAUUUGAGGACGUCUGGAUAGUAUCUGGACCGCUGACCUUACCUCAGACUGGAAGCAAUGGAAGGAAAACGGUUAGUUACCAGGUGAUCGGCGAGGACAAUGUGGCGGUGCCCUCCCACCUCUACAAGGUGAUCCUGGCGCGCAGAAGCCCGAGGUCUGCUGAGCCCCUGGCACUAGGGGCCUUCGUGGUGCCCAACAAGGCCAUUGGCUUCCAGCCCCAAUUAAGUGAGUUCCAGGUGAGCCUGCAGGAGCUGGAGAAGUUGUCAGGACUGGUGUUUUUCCCUCAUCUGGAUAGGACUAGUGACAUCAAGAACAUCUGCUCGGUGGACACCUGUAAGCUCCUGGAUUUCAGGGAGUUCACUCUGUACCUGAGCACAAGAAAGAUUGAAGGAGCCCGAUCGGUACACAGACUGGAAAAGGUCAUGGAAAAUUUGCAGAACGUAGGCAUUGAACCUGAUGAGGAGUUCAUGACUCGCUACGAGAAGAAACUGGAAGAACUUAAAGCUCAGGAGCAGUCAGGAGUCCUGGAGGGAAAGUCCUCGUAGUUCACGUCUCAGAAGCGUGAUGUCAUCUGUAAUGAAGCAGUAACAUCUUUAUUUCGAGACUUCAGGCUCUUUGGUCUAUGGAUUGAGACUAUUUCGCCUAUAUCGUAUGCAGCAAGGGGGGGCCUUACACAAGUGGCAAAGGACUUAGGAUAGAGCCAGCAGGAGAUACAGAGUCUGAUCUCAAGGGAAUGAAUGGCUUCCUACAGAGCUGGGCUCAGCCUGCAGCCCUGCUCUUGGAGUGACUAACCUGGGAGAUGUUCAGCACAUGUUUGCUAAAGGAAGAAUGGACAGAUGCCUCGGUUUCCCCAGCUGGUCCCGUGUGUAGGCUGACAUCACUUAGCAGGAGUGAGGGAGUGAGAACCUGAUCUAAGUAUACAAACAGUGGCUGGAGAGGAUAGAAAGUACGAUGGUCAUUCUUGCCUCAUUGCGAAAGUGACAUCCGAGGAAAGAGGGGAGCCAUGCACUCUCUGGGAGAAGACUGUGUCAGAGAGGGAACAGCCACUGCUGAAGCCCUCAGCACCUCCCAUAGCCUUGCAGGCAGAAGCAGCCUGGUCCCCGGCUGUCCAGGAAGAGGGAGUGCAGCCCAAGAGGCAGGUGCCUGGCAGCUGCCCAUGGAUGCCAGCCCCGUGAACUGGCCUGGGAGGAAGUGCUUGUCGGAGUGGUGAUUGCGAGGAUCUCAUGUAGGUGACGUCCUUCCAGAAGAACAAAGAGUGGAAGGUGGGACUGUGGGUGAGAAUAGGAGCCGGGGACCUAAGAGGACAGAAGGGCAGGAAGGAUUCAAAUGGAGGAGAGGAUCCAGGAGCCGGCAUCUGUCCCUCACGGAACCUGGACCCCAGCCUCACCCCAGAGUGGCCAGGUGACAGCUGUGGCGGUGUGGUGACCGCAAGGCCCACUCUUGCCUCCCUCCAGAUGCGCCUGACACCUCCCAGGCCCCUUCAGGCAGCUACAGAGACCCACACAAGGGGCCCCACACCCAGAAUCCAAGUUUUGGCUUCAAGAACAGUGAGGAGCUCCUGCACUGGCCCAUUCCAAGCAGUAGUGACCUGGAGCGUGUCAGAGGGCAGGCCUGGCCCUUUACUGCUUAUGGUAAAAUCCCAACCCCUGCAAAACCACUUUGCUGAGUGUGCUGUUGUCUGGAGGCGGGGUGACUCUAAGCAAGGAGGCUGGAGGUGGGAAGCCCACCACCAGAACACGUGGAGACCAGGUGACUUUUCAAAGCUCUUACAGCCCUGAGGGUCCACCAUUCUUUGGUUGCACUAGGCUUUGUUUAGCUGUAAGAGGACCCGCCUGGAUCUAGAAAUUGUGAUCCCAUGCAGAGGGGACCAGACACUACAGGUCCAAGGGGGGCUAAUUUGCUGGUGCAUCCUCCCCAGCUUCCUCAGCCCCAGGACAGUCCAGCCAUGAGAGCAAAGCUGGCUCAGGCUCCAUUGAUGUGACACCAGCCCGGGUCACCGAGGCCAGAGAGGAAUAUAGUAGGCAUUUCUUUUUUUUUUAAUUUAAUUUUUACUUUAUAUUGGAGUACAGUUGAUUUACAAUGUUGUGUUUGUUUUAGGUAUUCAACAACUUGAUUCAGUUAUACAUAGAUGUAUAUCUAUUCUUUUUUGGAUUAUUUUCCCAUGUAGGUUAUUACAGAGUGUUGAGUAGAGUUCCCUGUGCUAUACAGUAGGUCCUUGUUGAUUAUUUUAUAUAUAUUGGGGUGUAUAUGCUAAUCCCAACCUCCUCAUUUAUCCCUUUUCCCCACCUUUCCCUUGUGGUAACCAUAAGUUUGUUUUCUAAGUCUGUGAGCCUGCUUCUGUUUUGUAAAUUAGUUCAUUUGUAUCAACUUUUGGAUUCCACCUCUAAGUGAUAUCAUGUGAUGUUUGUCUUUCCCUGUGUGACUUACUUCAGUUAGUAUGAUCAUCUCUAGGUCCAUCCGUGUUGCUGCAAAUGGCCUUAUUUCAUUCUUUUUAAUGGCUGAGUAAUGUUCCAUUGUCUGUAUGUACCACGUCUUAUUUAUCCAUUCAUCUGUCGAUGGACAUUUUUGGUUGCUAGUGUUUUGGCUAUUGUAAAGAGUGCUGCAGUGAACAUUGUGGCGCGUGGGUCUUUUUGAAUUAUGGUUUUCUCUGGAUAUUCGCCCAGCACUGGGAUUGCCGGAUCAUCUGGUAGCUCUAUUUUUAGUUUUUAAAGAAACUUCCAUACUGUACUCCAUAGUGGCUGUUACCAGUUUCCACUCCCACCAGCAGCUUAGGAGGGUUCCCUUUUCUCCACACCCUUUCCAACUGCUGUUGUUUGUAGACUUUUUGAUGAUGGCCAUUCUGACUGGUGAAAGGUGAUAUACCUCUUUGUAGUUUUGAUUUCCAUUGCUCUAAUAAUUAGUGAUGUUGAGAAUCUUGUGUUUUUUUUUAAACAAACAGUGUAUUCCUGGGUUGUAAAUUAGAGUGCAAUGUGCCAGAACAAACACCCGAAGGGUUGUGUCUCAUUACUUCAUCCCCCUUACCCUUCACCCCUGGGGCAAAUCCCAACCCCUGGAAAACCACUUUGCUGAAGGUGCUAUUGUCCAGAGGUGGGGCGACCCUAAGGAAGAAGGAUGGAGGUGGGAACCUUCCCAGCAGGAGAUGUGGAGACCAGGUGACUUUUCAAAGCUCUUCCCGCCCUGAGAGUCCACCACCCUUUGGGUGCACUGGGCUUGUUUUAGCUGUAGGAGGGCCCACCUGGAUCUAGAGAUUGUGGUCCUGUGCAGAGGGGACCAGGCACUACAGGUCCAAGGGGGGCUUCAUUUGCUGGCAGAUCCUCCCCAGCUCCCUCAGCCCCAUGACAGUCCAGCCUUGGGACCCAAGCCUGCUCAGGCUUCAGGGAUGUGACACUAGCCCAGGUCACUGAGGCCUGAGGGGAACAUUGUAGGCAUUUUUUUUUUAAUUUAAUUUUUGUUUUCUAUUGGAGUACAGUUGAUUUACAAUGUUGUGUUUUUUUAGGUGUUUGGCAACUUGAUUCUGUUAUACAUAGACAUAUAUCUGUUCUUUUUCGGAUUCCUUUCCCAUAUAGGUUAUUAAAGAGUGUUGAGUAGAGUUCCCUGUGCUAUACAGAAGGUCCUUGUUGAUUAUCAUCUAUUUUAUAUAUAUUGGGGUGUAUAUGCUAGUCCCAACCUCCUCAUUUAUCCCUUGCUCCACAUUUCCCCUUUGGUAACCAUAAAUUUGUUUUCUAUGUCUAUGAGUGUUUCUGUUUUGUAAAUUAGAUCAUUUGUAUCAAUUUGUAGAUUCCUCAUCCAGUGAUAUCAUGUGAUACUUGUCUUUGUCUGACUUACUUAAGUUAGUAUUGAAACCGUGCCCCUGUGUCCUUGUCUUUUGUAAUAAAAUGCUGACUCAAGAGUUAAUGAUUGGGAAAUGUGAAAUAGAGAAACAAAGAAUAGCUGUUUGGCUGAGGAACUGGUAACAAUUUAGACUAUAAUUCUGCCACAUAGCAGAAUCAUGAAACCCACAGUUCCCUGAAAGAUAUAAAGGCCUGACACACAUUCCUGAGUUGUUUUUACAGAAAGCAGACCCUCUCCAGAUGAAAACUGCUGACCACAAGAACACAGACCCUAGACUGGUUGAAACCAGAAGGUUGAUGAAGCUUGAAACUUCGCCUUGAUGCCAACCAAUCCGAGAAUUGUCCGCGAGCUAAUCACCCCCUCCAGUCUUGAGGGCAUUAGCCCGCUGUGGCCCUGUUUGCCUGGCAAAGCAGUAAAAGCUAUUCUUUUCUACUUAACCCAAAACUCUGUCUCUGCAUUUCUAUUUGGCACUGGUGAACAGAUGCCGAGUUUUGGCAAUAGAAUUUUGGGGGCUCAUCCAGGAUCGACCUGUGUGCAGGUGGCCUUGAGGCGCCCCUGUGUUUGAGCGGACGCUCUGAGGUUUCUCUCCACACCAGCCUCCUUUGAGAGAGCAGAGGGUUGAAGGACUCCUCUGGAGGCCGGAUCGCCAGGGAUCCCCUGCCGUAGGGCUGUGCCCUGAUCAUACCCGGCCUGCCGUCUCGGUAGUUGGAGCUCCGAGGCGGGGAUGGAAGACAGGAGAGAAGCUGUCCUAGCAGCUGCCAAGGCCACCUUUGCCUUGAGGUCAUCCCCCUCUCCUUCUGCCCACACCGGUCCGGACUUCCUGCUCUGAGAAGAUAUUUUGGGGAAGCAGCAAGGUAGCGUUUGGGACGUCGCAGCACCUCUGCCAGCACUUCGAAAUUGGAGACUCUUGGGUUCUGAGCAGCCUUAUCAGGUGAAUGGAAAAGACUGUCUCUUGGCAUGUGCAGGAAUCUCGAUACUCUUUAGACCUGGAGAAGAGACAAAUUUACCCAAUCUAUAGAUAUCACAGGCAGAAUCUGCAGGCAAGCCUGGCCUUGAGAGGCCUUUUAAAAGUUUGAUCUGGGGGCUUCCCUGGUGGCGCAGUGGUUGAGAAUCUGCCUGCCAAUGCAGGGGACACGGGUUCGAGCCCUGGUCUGGGAAGAUCCCACAUGCCGCAGAGCAACUAGGCCCAUGAGCCACAAUUACUGAGCCUGCGCGUCUGGAGCCUGUGCUCCGCAACAAGAGAGGCCGCAAUAGUGAGAGGCCCGCGCACCGUGAUGAAGAGUGGCCCCCACUUGCCGCAACUAGAGAAAGCCCUCGCACAGAAACGAAGACCCAACACAGCCAUAAAUAAAUAAAUAAAAUUUAAAAAAAAAAAAGUUUGAUCUGUGAUUCCUAACGAAGAGUUCCAGUGCAGCCAAUAUAAAUGAGCCUAUAUGAGCAAUUACAUUUAUAUGAAUAAUCAGGCCAUGUAUAUUGAAACCAGACUUAUUUUGAAAAAAGCCUUAAUUUGGCUGGACUUAGUAAAAAGUGAGGAUAAUCUAGACAGAAAAAUUAUGUUUCAAUAGUAUACCUUUGCGGAUAUUAAAGUUUUAUAUUUAUUGAGGCUUUGUAUUUAUUAUCUAUGUCCAAGAUGGCUCCUUAUUGCUAUGUUACCUUAUUAUAAAGUUUAAUUGAACUAGUAAAAGAAUAUUCUAAGCUUGUUUCUAAAGCCAAUCUCAGAUGCCCUGUGACCUACACCUAAGAGAUUAUGCACAGUGGAAAAGACAUUAUUUAAAGGACUGUCAGCAAACUAAAUAAAAAGACCCUUAAAAGAUACUCUUAACUAUGAUAUGUACCACAAAACUGAAGGAAAUUGACUCGAAUUCAUAUUUCCCAUUUAAGAAGGGCCUCUGCAUUUGAAUGUCUACAGAAAAGACUGCUAACUCCAAACGACACCCACACCAGGAUGAAAAGAAGAUAACAGCAGUGGAAGACAGCUGACAUAAAAAUCUGGACCAGGCCCGUAAGAACCAUCCAACUAAUUCAACUGCACUGUUUAUCAAAUGUUUGUCUUCCUAUCAAAACAGAAAGUUUUUGUUUUACUUCUAACCAUACUUUUGACCCCAGUGUUCAGCAUGAAAAAAAAAUUCUCUAGUGAAGUUGUCACAGAGUAUAAAUAUUCAUGACAUGUAUCACUGCUUGUUUUGUGUAUUGCUAAGCGCACAUGUACAAUGCUUGCGUGACAAUUAAGUACAAGUGAUAAACUGUAUAGCCUACAAAGCAUUUCCCCAUUAACAUACCUCUGAGCCUGUUCAUGAUAUCUGAUUAGUUUUCCCCCAACGUGGAGAACUAAGCAAAAAAAAAAAAAAAAAAAAAGGCAUAGGACCAAGGGACAUAUAUGGACCCAGAGCAGGCAACUGGGCCACCACUCUGGCAACGUUGGAAAAACAUAUUGAUUAUCAAUGCCAUUUAUGGAAAUAUUUGCAGUCGAAAAGGGAAAAUGAUGGAAGAAAUUUUCACAUGUUGAGGUAUGGGGAAAUCAUUCUGGCUUGUACAUGACUGAAUUUGAAAUUUAGGGUAACCAAAACAGCCUGUUUUGGGUCUAUUAAACAUGCAUUGUACAUCUGCUUUAGCCAUUAAAAAAAAUCAAAAUGAAAUAACUGGUUCAGACGUCCAAAAUGGAACUAGGUGGCCAGUAUGGAUGUGGGUUCAGACACGUUCCUAUACUACUGAAAACUUGAGUUCUCUAAACUUUAUCAGACUUAAGGACACCAUCAGCCAUUUUCAAAACAAUAUCUAAUAGCAGCUGCCAACUGCAACCUUAUCCUCUCAAGGUCUUCUUGUAACUAUGAAACCUUUUUCCUACUUUAAAAAUAGUAAUAGCAAAUGAGACAGCUCAAGCUAUAGCCUCCCAGCAAAAGCCUACUUGGUUACUAAAUAUCUGUAAAAAGGAAACACUCCAAAACUUAUUUUCCUGGUUGCCAUCUAAAAUAGGAGGAUUAUUUUGAAAAAUACUACAAAGGUGUAUUUUAACCAUUAUCUGCAUUGUAAUAUGUCUAAUAAUUUUCAAAUGUUUGUCUAGGUGCUAUGACAAAGGAAUCAGAGAGGUAAUAUUUUCUUAAUACAAAAUAUUGAUGCUAAGCUUCGAAUUCGAGAUUAUUUCCAACUCUGUGUCCAUUCCCCCAAUUAGUCAGGACUACACCCCACAUCAGCAGGAAGUAACCAGAGUGGUUGUCACCCCAUUCCCACAGAGAAGGGGAAAAUUGAAACAAAGAUGGACUGACAGUUCUUCUGCCAAGUUUAUGAUUAACCUCUCAAUCUAAAACAUUCCCUUUCAUGUUCUGCACCUAUUCCUCCUCAACUGAGGAAUAUCAAAGAAAAAGGGGGAUUGAAACCAUGUACAAGCACCUGUGUCCUUCUCUUUGAAGAAAAACGAUGACUCAAAAGUCAGUGAUUGGGAAAUGUGAAGAUGUAGAAACAAACAAUAGCAGAUGGGCUGGGGAACUGGUAAGAAUUUAGACUAUACUUCUGCCAAGUAGCAGAAUCACCCAACUUAGAGUUUCCUGAAAGAUAUAAAGGCCUGACACACAUUCCUGAGUUCUUUUUAUGGGAAGCAGUCCCCUCCAGCUGAAAACUACUGACAGCAAGAACAUAGACCCUAGACUGGAUGAAAACCGAAGGUUAAUGAAGUUUGAAAUUUCACCUCGAUGCCAACCAAUCUGAGAAUUGUCCAUGAGCUGAUCAUGCCCUGCUUCUUGAACACUAUAAAACUACUCACUACCCCCUCCAGGGUGGGCGACAGACUCUUGAGGGCAUUAGACCGCUGUGGCCUCCUUUGCCUGACAAAGCAAUAAAAGCUACACUUUUCUACUUCACACAACA